GAUGAACGCUAGCGGCAGGCUUAACACAUGCAAGUCGAGGGGUAGGAGAAGCUUGCUUUUCUGAGACCGGCGCACGGGUGCGUAACGCGUAUGCAAUCUACCUUUCACAGAGGGAUAGCCCAGAGAAAUUUGGAUUAAUACCUCAUAGUAUAAUUGAAUGGCAUCAUUUAAUUAUUAAAGAUUUAUCGGUGAAAGAUGAGCAUGCGUCCCAUUAGCUAGUUGGUAUGGUAACGGCAUACCAAGGCAACGAUGGGUAGGGGUCCUGAGAGGGAGAUCCCCCACACUGGUACUGAGACACGGACCAGACUCCUACGGGAGGCAGCAGUGAGGAAUAUUGGACAAUGGGCGCAAGCCUGAUCCAGCCAUGCCGCGUGCAGGAUGACGGUCCUAUGGAUUGUAAACUGCUUUUAUACAGGAAGAAACACUCCCUCGUGAGGGAGCUUGACGGUACUGUAAGAAUAAGGAUCGGCUAACUCCGUGCCAGCAGCCGCGGUAAUACGGAGGAUCCAAGCGUUAUCCGGAAUCAUUGGGUUUAAAGGGUCCGUAGGCGGUCAGGUAAGUCAGUGGUGAAAGCCCAUCGCUCAACGGUGGAACGGCCAUUGAUACUGUCUGACUUGAAUUAUUAGGAAGUAACUAGAAUAUGUAGUGUAGCGGUGAAAUGCUUAGAGAUUACAUGGAAUACCAAUUGCGAAGGCAGGUUACUACUAAUUGAUUGACGCUGAUGGACGAAAGCGUGGGUAGCGAACAGGAUUAGAUACCCUGGUAGUCCACGCCGUAAACGAUGGAUACUAGCUGUUGGGAGCAAUCUCAGUGGCUAAGCGAAAGUGAUAAGUAUCCCACCUGGGGAGUACGAACGCAAGUUUGAAACUCAAAGGAAUUGACGGGGGCCCGCACAAGCGGUGGAGCAUGUGGUUUAAUUCGAUGAUACGCGAGGAACCUUACCAAGGCUUAAAUGUAGAUUGACCGGUUGGAAACAGACU
rnacentral:rRNA from 1 species